rnacentral:rRNA from 1 species
CCUACGGGAGGCUGCAGUGGGGAAUAUUGGACAAUGGGGGGAACCCUGAUCCAGCCAUGCCGCGUGUGUGAAGAAGGCCCUCGGGUUGUAAAGCACUUUCAGUGAGGAAGAACGCCUGGUGGUUAAUACCCAUCAGGAAAGACAUCACUCACAGAAGAAGCACCGGCUAACUCCGUGCCAGCAGCCGCGGUAAUACGGAGGGUGCGAGCGUUAAUCGGAAUUACUGGGCGUAAAGCGCGCGUAGGUGGCUUGAUAAGCCGGUUGUGAAAGCCCCGGGCUCAACCUGGGAACGGCAUCCGGAACUGUCAAGCUAGAGUGCAGGAGAGGAAGGUAGAAUCCCCGGUGUAGCGGUGAAAUGCGUAGAGAUCGGGAGGAAUACCAGUGGCGAAGGCGGCCUUCUGGACUGACACUGACACUGAGGUGCGAAAGCGUGGGUAGCAAACAGGAUUAGAUACCCUUGUAGUC